GCGGUGGGCGGCGGUCUUGCACCCCGGAGCUCGCACGUACCCAGUUUCCUCCUUCCGGAGUGGCUGCACUCAGGCACCCAGCGGGCCGGCGGGCGGGUAGCGGCGCGGAGGUCUGGGCGGGGCGGGCCUCCCGGGCUCCGGGGACGCCCACAGGCCCUGCGAGGCCAGAGCAGAGCGCCGGCGGCGGGGAAGAGCGCGAGCGCCGGGGCACGGAGGUGACAGAGGAACCAUAAACCUCAUGAGGAGCCAGUACAGCAUGGGAAUGUGACAGUUCCAAACCCCGGCCACAGAUGGUCCGUGAUGGAAAAUGUGAACCCGACAGGAAGGAUCAUCGGAUGGACCCUGUUUGACAACAUGCACCACCAGUGGCUCCUGCUGGCUGCAUGCUUUUGGGU
rnacentral:lncRNA from 1 species